AAGACCGUCACUAGCCAGCGUUGGCAAAAUGUUUGUUUGUGAUGUAUUUCGCAUAUUUUUUGCGUAAACUGUAAUUAAAUGAUACGAUAACUUUAAGUGUUUUUGCACUUGACUCGAUUCGUCACGUCACACUGCAAAUUGAAGUGAUUUAGUGUUGAUUUCACAAUGAUUAACACUUUCUAAUGAGAUGAUCUUGCGUUGAAAACUGUUCAAUGGAAAUCACCAUCAUGUUAUAAUGAAUAUCUCUUGAAUUUGCACCACUGUUCAAAUCAAUUGAAUUACAGCUGCGAUUCCAAUUGACAAACGUCAAAAACAUAAAACGAAACAAAAAUAGUCGCGAUGGCGAAAGGCGCAAGCAGCACAUUUUCCCCGGAGAUUAAAAAUUUGUUUGGAAAUCCUGAAUUCGAAUACACCGACACAGCGACAGUGGUCAUUUUGUAAUGAAAUUGAAAACCUAGAAUAAAAUAAAAUUGAAAAAUCUAAAAUAAACAGAAA